rnacentral:rRNA from 1 species
GACGAACGCUGGCGGCGUGCUUAACACAUGCAAGUCGAACGGAAAGGCCCUGCUUUUGUGGGGUGCUCGAGUGGCGAACGGGUGAGUAACACGUGAGUAACCUGCCCUUGACUUUGGGAUAACUUCAGGAAACUGGGGCUAAUACCGGAUAGGAGCUCCUGCUGCAUGGUGGGGGUGGAAAGUUUCGGCGGUUGGGGAUGGACUCGCGGCUUAUCAGCUUGUUGGUGGGGUAGUGGCUUACCAAGGCUUUGACGGGUAGCCGGCCUGAGAGGGUGACCGGCCACAUUGGGACUGAGAUACGGCCCAGACUCCUACGGGAGGCAGCAGUGGGGAAUAUUGCACAAUGGGCGGAAGCCUGAUGCAGCAACGCCGCGUGCGGGAUGACGGCCUUCGGGUUGUAAACCGCUUUCGCCUGUGACGAAGCGUGAGUGACGGUAAUGGGUAAAGAAGCACCGGCUAACUACGUGCCAGCAGCCGCGGUGAUACGUAGGGUGCGAGCGUUGUCCGGAUUUAUUGGGCGUAAAGGGCUCGUAGGUGGUUGAUCGCGUCGGAAGUGUAAUCUUGGGGCUUAACCCUGAGCGUGCUUUCGAUACGGGUUGACUUGAGGAAGGUAGGGGAGAAUGGAAUUCCUGGUGGAGCGGUGGAAUGCGCAGAUAUCAGGAGGAACACCAGUGGCGAAGGCGGUUCUCUGGGCCUUUCCUGACGCUGAGGAGCGAAAGCGUGGGGAGCGAACAGGCUUAGAUACCCUGGUAGUCCACGCUGUAAACGGUGGGUACUAGGUGUGGGGUCCAUUCCACGGGUUCCGUGCCGUAGCUAACGCUUUAAGUACCCCGCCUGGGGAGUACGGCCGCAAGGCUAAAACUCAAAGGAAUUGACGGGGCCCCGCACAAGCGGCGGAGCAUGCGGAUUAAUUCGAUGCAACGCGUAGAACCUUACCUGGGUUUGACAUGGAUCGGGAGUGCUCAGAGAUGGGUGUGCCUCUUUUGGGGUCGGUUCACAGGUGGUGCAUGGCUGUCGUCAGCUCGUGUCGUGAGAUGUUGGGUUAAGUCCCGCAACGAGCGCAACCCUUGUUCACUGUUGCCAGCACGUUAUGGUGGGGACUCAGUGGAGACCGCCGGGGUCAACUCGGAGGAAGGUGGGGAUGACGUCAAGUCAUCAUGCCCCUUAUGUCCAGGGCUUCACGCAUGCUACAAUGGCUGGUACAGAGAGUGGCGAGCCUGUGAGGGUGAGCGAAUCUCGGAAAGCCGGUCUCAGUUCGGAUUGGGGUCUGCAACUCGACCUCAUGAAGUCGGAGUCGCUAGUAAUCGCAGAUCAGCAACGCUGCGGUGAAUACGUUCCCGGGGCU